GAUGAACGCUGUCGGCGUGCCUAAUACAUGCAAGUCGAGCGAACAGAUCAGGAGCUUGCUCCUCUUACUUUAUCGGCGGACGUGUGAGUAACACUUGGAUAACCUACCUAUACGACUGGGAUAACUUCGGGACACCGGCGCUACUACCGGAUAAUAUAUUGCACCGCAUGGUUCAAUAGUGAAAGACUGUUUUGCUGUCACUUAUUACUGGAUCCGCGCCUCCUUAGCUAGUUGGUAAGGUAACGGCUUACCAAGGCAACGAUGCGUAGCCGACCUGAGAGGGUGAUCGGCCACACUGGAAGUGAGACACGGUCCAGAACCCUACGGAAGGCAGAAGUAGGAAAUCUGCGGAAAAGGGCGAAAGCCUGACGGAGCAACGCCGCGUGAGUGAUGAAGGUAUUCGGAUCGUAAAACUCUGUUAUUAGGGAAGAACAAAUGUGUAAGUAACUAUGCACGUCUUGACGGUACAUAAUCAGAAAGCCACGGCUAACUACGGG
rnacentral:rRNA from 1 species